CUCCAAAGAAAAGCAAAGAGAUGAGAGUGUAAGAAACCCCUUUCGGGGACCCCCACUCUAGUCUCGGGAGAGAGAGCACACCCAAAGAAACACAAGAAUCC
rnacentral:pre_miRNA from 7 species